rnacentral:lncRNA from 1 species
UAAUUUGUGUUCCAUCUUCUUUUGGUUCCCAAUUGUCUCACUCCUCCCUAGAAUUAGUCCAAUCAGUCCAUUGCUAAGUCUCUCUCUUCUUUUGGGCUGGGCAGUUUCUGGAGUUGCUGCUCCUUGAGUCGGUGCUCGCAAUCUCCCCCUACAGGAAUUUCUUUUUACCAGUCAAAGGUGCUUUCAGGAGAGUUGAGUAUCUUAGUGGCUUCCUAAUCUUGGGAGUUGUGUUGGAUGUCCUUUUGGCCCCUCAGUUCUGCAUUCUUUGUGCCCACUCUCAGUGAGCAUCCUUCUCCUGAAGCUUUGUGAACCUGUCCCUGGCUCUGAGCUCCUUGAAGCAUGCCAAGGCCUGAAGCUUAACAAGGCAAUUCUACCAACAAGGAAUUUGUUUUUCUAACCCAUGGGCAUCACUGAGAGCUUGGUGGUUAGUUGCUGUCUAUUUCAUGGAUUAAAUCUCCCUUCCGCUUGAUUGGGCUUGAAAAUACACAAGGCUGAAAUAGAUCAAUAUAAAGAGCAUCCUUCCUUAAGAGCUCUUUUAUAUGUUCUACAGUUUGCAUCCCAUAUAACUCACAAAAAUUAAAUUUCAGUUUAUGACCAGCAAAGGAGUAAUUCUGCCCUGAGCAGAUUCCAAGAGGUGAAUGGCUACAGUCAUGGAACUGGAGCUAAUGCUGCACCUGUGGCUAACACACGCCGAAUGGCUACAGUCAUGGAACUGGAGCUAAUGCUGCACCUGUGGCUAACACACGCCCUGCAGGACAUGGAGCAGAGGAGGGAAUUGCACGUUCAGAUGCAGAGCCAGGAGUUGUUAUUAGUUGUCCAAUAUGCAUGGAUUAUUACUCAGAGAUUGUGCAAAGCGGACGACUGAUGGUGGCAACUAUGUGUGGCCACAUGUUCUGCAGCGCGUGCCUCCCCGUUGCCCUGGAGACCACCGGCAUGUGCCCAACCUGCAGAGAGGAACUCGAUGCAGAAAUGUAUUUUCCAAUUUAUUUAUGAGAGUUUCCGCUGCUCAGGGCAGUCUCAGGUGCAUCUUGGAGAAGAGGAGGUGUAGAGGCCUGUUUCUUUAUGUAUAUAGUUCUUUUUGUACAUAGUUUCAUUUUUGGUGCGUUCAGUUAUAAAUAAAGUUUUGAUUGAU